AAUGAACGCUGGCGGCAGGCUUAACACAUGCAAGUCGAACGAUUAAAGCCCCUUCGGGGGUGUAUAAAGUGGCAAACGGGUGAGUAACACGUGGGAAUAUACCUUUUAGUCUGGGACAACAGUUGGAAACGACUGCUAAUACCGGAUACGCUCUUCGGAGGAAAGAUUUAUCGCUAAAAGAUUAGCCCGCGUAAGAUUAGCUAGUUGGUAAGGUAAUGGCUUACCAAGGCUACGAUCUUUAGCUGGUCUGAGAGGAUGAUCAGCCACACUGGGACUGAGAUACGGCCCAGACUCCUACGGGAGGCAGCAGUGAGGAAUAUUGGACAAUGGACGAAAGUCUGAUCCAGCCAUGCCGCGUGAGUGAAGAAGGCCUUAGGGUUGUAAAGCUCUUUCAGUAAGGAAGAUAAUGACGGUACUUACAAAAGAAGCCCCGGCUAACUCCG
rnacentral:rRNA from 1 species